rnacentral:rRNA from 1 species
AUUGAACGCUGGCGGCAGGCCUAACACAUGCAAGUCGAGCGAGCGGCGGACGGGUGAGUAAUGUAUGGGGACUGCCCGAUAGAGGGGGAUAACUACUGGAAACGGUGGCUAAUACCGCAUACUAUCGGAUAACCCAUAUGGGAUUAGCUAGUAGGUGGGGUAAAGGUUCACCUAGGCGACGAUCUCUAGCUGGUCUGAGAGGAUGAUCAGCCACACUGGGACUGAGACACGGCCCAGACUCCUACGGAGGCAGCAGUGGGGAAUAUUGGGCAAUGGACGAAAGUCUGACGGAGCCAUGCCGCGUGAGUGAAGAAGGCCUUAGGAUCGUAAAGCGCUGUCAUUCGGGAAGCGGUAUCUACAGAGAAAGCCACGGCUAACUACGUGCCAGCAGCCGCGGUAAUAC